CCAGACUCCUACGGGAGGCAGCAGUGAGGAAUAUUGGUCAAUGGCCGGAAGGCUGAACCAGCCAAGUCGCGUGAGGGAAGACGGCCCUACGGGUUGUAAACCUCUUUUGUCGGGGAGCAAAGCGAACCACGUGUGGUUCAUUGAGAGUACCCGAAGAAAAAGCAUCGGCUAACUCCGUGCCAGCAGCCGCGGUAAUACGGAGGAUGCGAGCGUUAUCCGGAUUUAUUGGGUUUAAAGGGUGCGUAGGCUGUGAGGUAAGUCAGCGGUGAAAUGCCCCCGCUCAACGGGGUGAAGUGCCAUUGAUACUGCCUUGCUGGAAUGCGGAUGCCGUGGGAGGAAUGUGUGGUGUAGCGGUGAAAUGCAUAGAUAUCACACAGAACACCGAUUGCGAAGGCAGCAUACCGGCGCCCAACUGACGCUGAAGCACGAAAGCGUGGGUAUCGAACAGGAUUAGAUACCCUAGUAC
rnacentral:rRNA from 1 species